rnacentral:lncRNA from 1 species
UUAGAAACUUUCUAAUCAAUUACAACUUGAAAACAUGAUUCUAAGAUCUAUAAUUAAGUAUGAAUCACCAUAAACAAGAUUUAAAGCUUACCUAAGCAUCGUGAUUCAUGUUUUACGUGUUUUGCGUCCUUUCCGAUUCUUCGAAGUCUUGGAUUCUUCGAUCUUCAAUACUCCGCUCCGAACUUCUUCAAGACUCCGACUCGACCCACGAAACUUGCCAACACAUAGGAUCUAACAGUGAGGACAUCAAUCAAAUCAGCAACCUCAUGUGGAUACCUAUAGAGGCCGGACGCUUGUGUGGCUUCAAGAGAACCAAUUCCAUGAUCAUCAAAGUGCGAUGAAGAUCCACUCGUGCAAAGGUAAAGAUUAGAUCUUCCCUUUUCUUUUUUAAUCUUAAACAACAUUAGGGAUUCUAUUUGUGUGGUUUUAGAGAUUGGAUCUCAAGAUUUUAAAAAUCAAAUUUGUUAGAAUUUUUUUUCCACUGCGCUUAAUCGCACGCAAUUUUCUAACAGUAUAAAGUAAGCAUACUUGAGUAGUUUGUCCACUAUCAUCUAUGCUGUAUCGUGUCUGCCCUGAGAUCGUGGUCGCCCAGCAACAAAGUCCGUCGUGAUCAUAUCCUACUUCCAUACUGGGAUUGAAAGAUUUGCAACUUGCCAGCUGGAAGACGAUGCUCAGCUUUUACUUGUUGACAAAUUAAACACCGAGUCACAAAUUCUCUAAUGUAGCUCUUCAUCCAGACCACCAAUAGUUUAUCUUUAAGUCCUUACACAUCUUAAUACCUCGGGGAUGUAUACAAUAUAAGGAGAAUUGAGAGCUUCUCUCAAAAUCUCUUUGCGGAGCUCGGAAUCCAUCGAUACACACUAUCGGUCUUUGAAUCAAAGUAUUCCAGAGGCAUCAAUGAAAAACUCUUCUGCUAG